UACGUAGGGGGUAAGCGUUGUCCGGAAUCAUUGGGCGUAAAGCGCGCGUAGGCGGCCCGGUAAGUCCGCUCUGAAAGUCCAGGGCUCAACCCUGGAAAGCGGGUGGAUACUGCCGGGCUAGAAUCCGGAAGAGGCGAGUGGAAUUCCCGGUGUAGCGGUGAAAUGCGCAGAUAUCGGGAAGAACACCCGUGGCGAAGGCGGUUCUCUGGGACGGUACUGACGCUGAGACGCGAAAGCGUGGGGAGCGAACAGG
rnacentral:rRNA from 1 species